rnacentral:rRNA from 1 species
AACGAACGCUGGCGGCAUGCCUAACACAUGCAAGUCGAACGAGAUCUUCGGGUCUAGUGGCGCACGGGUGCGUAACGCGUGGGAAUCUGCCCUUUGCUUCGGAAUAACAGUGAGAAAUUACUGCUAAUACCGGAUGAUGUCUUCGGACCAAAGAUUUAUCGGCAAGGGAUGAGCCCGCGUAGGAUUAGGUAGUUGGUGGGGUAAUGGCCUACCAAGCCGACGAUCCUUAGCUGGUCUGAGAGGAUGAUCAGCCACACUGGGACUGAGACACGGCCCAGACUCCUACGGGAGGCAGCAGUGGGGAAUAUUGGACAAUGGGGAAACCCUGAUCCAGCAAUGCCGCGUGAGUGGUGAAGGCCUUAGGGUUGUAAAGCUCUUUUACCAGGGAUGAUAAUGACAGUACCUGGAGAAUAAGCUCCGGCUAACUCCGUGCCAGCCGCCGCAGUAACAC